rnacentral:lncRNA from 1 species
AUGGUGCUCUGUAGGACAAGUAUCACUUUGAAACUCUAUGGGAUGUUUCAUGAGACCAAAGUCCUAGUGUGGGUGAUCUCAGAGGACCUCAGCAUGACUGCACAGAGCAGCAAGGAGACCUUUUGGAUGGGGAGCAGAUUGCCUUCAAAGCACCAAAGAUGUCCUUCAAGAGAAGAAAUGAGCUCAGAUGUUCUGCCAGCACAAUGCCAAGGCACUUAUGGGAAUGGUUUCAGAAAAGAUCAGCCCAGUUCUUCCUCAACCUUUGCUGAGGAACUCUUAGCAAGCACUGCUGGGUCCCCCACAAAGCACUUUCUCCAGGUUUUAUGCAAUCCCGGAGCUCAGAAAAGUGACUCUUCAGGGGAAAUGUGGAUCAGUAAUUCAGGUUACUGGCUUUGCGCUCCCCUUUUGAUUUCUGCUGGAACUCAUCUGGAGAAAUAUUGCCUCACUCAGAAGAAAGAAAUUGAUGGAUAAAAGAGGAGAGGGAGUUUCUCAAGAAAGCCAGCAGCUCCGUGAUCUCAUGCAUCCCCAGAUGACAAUAGCGCUCCCAAACCAGUGGUUCUCCGUGGCUGUGCGCACAGAGGCAUGAAGCACAACCAGCUUUCCCCAGGGCUAUUCUCCUGGGCUUGCUGGCCAUUCCCUGGAAAGAGAGACCACAGGGCAGGAUGGCAAUGGAUGAAUCAGUCCUACCCUCAAGGCUGCAGAGAAACCUUUUUCUCCGGUCCACUCCCAUUUCUGUCUUACUGACUCUCCCCAAAGUCCAAAGUGUGGUCUGAGCAUUUCCCUUUUUAGAUGGAUUGCAUUUUUAUUAAUUUUACAGUAAAUCACUUCUCUAUUUCCUUUGUUUAUGCUAGGUGGAAUCGGUGAUUUCCAUGUCUGUGAUGCAUUACUUGGCACAUGAGCACAACACAUACCAUCACUUCAUCAUACCCAUUAUUGACACCCCAGCUCUAGGACAAAAAGAUGAAAAAUCCAUCUCUAUGCUGUCACUUCCCUUUUCCCUCCUGCUCUAGUUCAAAGGUACCUCUGGAAACCUCAGCCUUGAGUUCCUCCAUCCCAGCCUUCUUUAAGCAGGACGAUCCAAAAUGCCUAAGCAGCACAGCUCAGACUUGGCCCCAUAGGACCUGCUGCUCCAUGUCACAUCAUCUUCUAAAAUCAUGUAGCUAGCACUUUAUCAGGGGGAGAACAGCAGCCUGGAAAGGAGGAGGAAAGCUUCUGUGUUCAGCCCAGGGAAAUACAGCCUCCUCUCCCUGCUUUCCCCUAUGAAAGCUCCCACCUGAACACUGGGCCCCUUCCGAAAGCAAACAGCUGACCUGCAUCUUUUGAAUAUCUUGGCUUUUAUGGCUUGGAUCCCAACCUUAGCCAUGUUUCAGUGCCAUUUUCUCUUUGCUGAACAGCAGGCCUGGAAAGCUUCACCUUGCUGCAGUCAACGUGCAUCCUGCCAUGCCCAUGCAAGGCGUUUUUCUUCAAAGGA